AAUGAUGCCACAUAAAAAUAAGACUAUGAGAGAGAAACUUCUAAACAUAUAAAUAAUAGAUUCUAUUGCAAUCGGAUUUGUCAGUGUCCCUAUGAUAGAGUCAUCUCAUUGUUACUUUAUGUCAUAUACUAAAUAGUAGAAUGGGACACAUAGAAAGAGAAGAAAAAAAAAUUGUUAGAUAAGGAAUCUAUAAACCACCACACCAUUUUUUUUUCUAUCUCUCUCCUCAAUAAUCAUGCAACCAACCCUCAUCUCUCACUCUUCAACAAUGAUUAAAUUUUUUUGUCACAUUCAAAGAACUAUUUCUACUUACCAAACUCAUCACUGUAAAUCUUCAACCCAUCUUCAAUCCUCUUCUUUCUUUCUCUAUUCCUGUGACCUUUAGCACUGAUCAAAGACAAACAUAUAUAAUUUUUUUCAAGUUCUUCUCUCACCCCCUUCAAAAAAACACCAAAUUAUUUUUAGAAUGAAAAAUUAUUUUUCAAGUUUACAACACCAAUUUCUCUGCGAGAUCUCGUCUAAUGCGAGUCACUUAUUGAAAAACCAUCACCAUAGAAAGACACCUCUUCAUCUCCUCAACGAAACCCACAAAAAAAUUCAUGAUCGGAGAACUUUCACCAACAACCAUUGUGUUGGAAAUCUUCACCACCGUGCCGGAAAACGUGAUGCUACUGUUUACGUUAUCACAACACAUUCCAAUUCAUUUUCCCAUAUAAUUGUGGAUCUUAUUAUUUUGCUAUGUAAAUGUUAUUUCAUACAUGGUUUGAGUAACACUACAAGAAAAAAGGUAUAUCACGACAGGCAAACUGCAUCGGUUGCAUUCUAGCCGUCGUCGCUUUUCCCUUUUGUGGCAGUUACUGUAGCAGUUCCUUUCCCGCCGUCGCAUUUUUCCCCCUUUUACAUCUUAUCUCUUUAAUCUACCCAAACCCAAACACUUCAUUAACCCAAAUCCCUAAUCGAUUUCAGUUUUCCUUCUCGUCUCAGAUCUUACUCUUCGAACCCAAAUCGAUUUCAGUUCGUCAAACCCAAAUCACUUCAUGCCUCAGAUCUUCGANNN
rnacentral:lncRNA from 1 species